GACGAACCGUGCGAACGUUGUUCGGAAUCACUGGGCUUAAAGGGCGCGUAGGCGGGCGAUCGAGUCGGAGGUGAAAUCCUACAGCUCAACUGUAGAACUGCCUUCGAUACUGGUUGUCUCGAGGGAGGUAGGGGCAUGUGGAACUUCCGGUGGAGCGGUGAAAUGCGUAGAGAUCGGAAGGAACGCCGGUGGCGAAAGCGACGUGCUGGACCUCUUCUGACGCUGAGGCGCGAAAGCUAGGGUAGCGAACGGG
rnacentral:misc_RNA from 1 species